GACGUAGGGUGCAAGCGUUGUCCGGAUUUACUGGGCGUAAAGAGCGCGUAGGCGGUCUGUUAAGUGUGAAGUGAAAUCUCCAGGGCUCAACCCGGAAACUGCUUCGCAUACUGGCAGACUGGAGGGAUGCAGAGGUGAGUGGAAUUCCUGGUGUACCGGUGAAAUGGGUAGAUAUCAGGAGGAACACCCGUGGCGAAGGCGGCUCUCUGGGACGGUACUGACGCUGAGACGCGAAAGCGUGGGGAGCGAACAGG
rnacentral:rRNA from 1 species